GAGGCGGCGAACCUCCGGAAGUGACAGUAACAGAGACUGCGCAGGGGGCCUGAGCGGGAGAGUCCUGGCGAGGGCGCUGGCCGAGAGGUGCUCGGCUUGUAGCAGGUCCCGCACUCCAGCCUCUCGCUGCCAGGGUUUGCUCUCUGCUUGUCCUGGGCUGAGGUGCCCAUGACGGAGUCAUCCAAGGAGGAAAAAAUCUGUUCCGGGUGAGCCCAGGCCGCCCCGGAUAUGCGAUGGCUGAGGAGCAGACACCAGGGACCACACUGAGGUUGGGUUUCAGACCAAGAUACUGGAUUCUCCUAGUUAAGAUAAAGAGCUUUGGGUGCCUGACAGUGAAAAUGGUGUAAUCUGCGUUAACAGUUCACAGCUUGAAGGCAUGACAGUUAAAGAACACACAUGGACUUGUGGCACAUGGAAAUGUGCGCACAGAAAAAGGAAAUCUAUAAUUCUUUAAAAGUAGGAAGGCAUUCUUCCUUGCCAAAAUGGGUACAUUCUGUUCGGUUAUCAAGUUUGAAAAUCUACAAGAAUUAAAGAGACUGUGUCACUGGGGUCCCAUCAUAGCCCUUGGUGUUAUAGCAAUAUGUUCUACAAUGGCCAUGAUUGACUCUGUGUUGUGGUAUUGGCCCUUACAUACAACUGGAGGAAGUGUGAAUUUCAUCAUGUUGAUAAAUUGGACUGUCAUGAUUCUUUAUAAUUACUUCAAUGCCAUGUUUGUCGGUCCGGGCUUUGUCCCUCUGGGGUGGAAACCGGAGAUUUCUCAGGAUACCAUGUAUCUCCAGUAUUGUAAAGUCUGCCAAGCAUACAAGGCACCACGUUCACAUCACUGCAGAAAGUGUAACAGAUGUGUGAUGAAGAUGGACCAUCACUGUCCUUGGAUCAACAACUGUUGUGGUUACCAAAAUCAUGCUUCGUUCACACUGUUUCUCCUUUUAGCACCACUGGGUUGUAUCCAUGCUGCUUUCAUUUUUGUGAUGACUAUGUACACACAGCUUUAUCAUCGGCUCUCCUUUGGGUGGAACACAGUGAAGAUCGACAUGAGUGCAGCCCGGAGAGAUCCUCUUCCAAUUGUUCCAUUUGGAUUAGCUGCAUUUGCUACCACCUUGUUUGCCUUGGGAUUAGCUUUAGGAACAACCAUAGCUGUUGGGAUGUUGUUUUUUAUCCAGAUGAAAAUAAUUCUCAGAAACAAAACUUCUAUUGAGUCAUGGAUUGAAGAGAAGGCUAAAGAUCGAAUUCAGUAUUAUCAACUAGAUGAAGUCUUUGUUUUUCCAUAUGAUAUGGGAAGUAGAUGGAGGAACUUUAAACAGGUAUUUACGUGGUCAGGGGUCCCUGAAGGAGAUGGACUUGAGUGGCCAGUAAGAGAAGGCUGUCACCAAUACAGCUUAACAGUGAGUAUUUUUGUUCAAAUAGCCCUUCCUUUUUGCCUCACCUUCUUUCCCUUAACUCCCCCUCAAGUGACAUUUUGUAGUAAAAUAAGUAAUAUGAAUGUUCUCACUAUGUCAAAAUGCAUCUAAUAAUUCUAAAGCACUCCUUGUAUCAUGUCUCUCCCUUUAUUUCAAUAUCUCCUUAACUCUCUAUACCUGUGAGAUAAAGUCCUGAUCCCUUAACAUAGUUUUAUGAAAUCUGGCCAAAAAUUACCUUCCAACUUACAGUAGCAUAUGAAUUCCUUAUACAUUCCUGUCACCCAACUUUGCCCACAAUUUUUUCCAUCUUAUAUGACCUCCACUCUAUCUAAAAUUAUUAAGACUCGUUCCAGUCUUACCUCUUCCAUAAAGUCUAACCUACCCCCGUAGACUCAUCUGAAUGUGACAUUUAAUCACAUACUACUCUAUGGUAGCUCAUGAAGUCUCAUAUUUUUAUUUAAUUCUGGUUUCUUAUAUCUGUAACUUCAUAAGAUUCUAGGACAGAGAUCAUGAGUUAUCUUUAUUUCUCCUAUUAUAUCUAAUAUAGUGCUAUUUAAUAGUAGCUAUGUCAAGUUAUAAUGAUGAAUUUUAUUCAUUCAUUCAACUUCAUUUUUAAAUGUUCUUCAUUAUUCAUUUGUAGUUUGUCUGCCAUGUCUCUACAGAAUCAGUGAAUCUCAGUGUUUUCACCUGAGAAGCUUCAUGAGGGCGGAGAAUAUACUCCCUGAUCCCUGGGCCACAAUAGAACAGUUGAAACAAAAAGCAGAUAAGAGAGUCAGAAGUGUUCGCUAUAAAGUAAUAGAAGAUUAUAGUGGUGCCUGCUGCCCUCUGAAUAAAGGAAUCAAAACCUUCUUCACAAGCCCCUGCACCGAAGAGCCUCGAAUACAGCUGCAAAAAGGGGAAUUCAUUUUAGCCACAAGAGGUUUACGAUACUGGUUAUAUGGAGACAAAAUUCUUGAUGAUUCCUUUAUAGAAGGUGUUUCAAGAAUAAGGGGAUGGUUCCCUAGAAAAUGUGUGGAAAAGUGUCCCUGUGAUGCUGAAACAGAUCAAGCCCCAGAGGGGGAGAAGAAAAAUAGAUAGCUGCUGUUAAAACAAAAUUAUCCUUUAAGUCUGCUUAAUUACUUGAAAAUUGUUCAUAUUACUAAAGAAUUAUGCAAUGAGCCUACUCUGGUUAAGAUGUUCUUUUCCUCAAAGGUGCCCUAGUGCCAUGAUUUAAAUAUUUUUAUUACCAUUUUGAAAUGGAGAAGCCAUUCUGCAUAUGCCUUUGAAUUCCUGCCCCUCUUUACCACCUCUUCCUCCCCCUCAAAGGAAAAACAUUUCAUCCAAGUAAGUUAACGGCAUUUUCUGUAGGAUUUUCUUAUGCACUGCACACUCUGGACCUCACCUGCAGAUACAGUUCUCCCCUUGCCAGGAGCAUCUGCAUGUGGUACUUCUCUUUUCCCUCAGUUGAUGUUUCUUAUAUGAUAUUCUAGAUACUAUAGAACUCAAUUUGUCAGAUUCAGUAUAAGCUCAGAUUUUGUUACCUGUCUUUUAAUAAUGCAGAUUUUGUCAAAUCAAAUAAAGAUCAAUGGAUGUUGGGUAUAA